rnacentral:rRNA from 1 species
AACGAACGCUGGCGGCGCGCUUAAUACAUGCAAGUCGAACGAGAAGGUGUAGCAAUACACUUGUAAAGUGGUGAACGGGUGAGGAAUACAUGGGUAACCUACCCUCGAGUGGGGAACAACCAGCCGAAAGGUUGGCCAAUACCGCGUACGCUUCCGGGUCUUCGGAUUCGGAAGGAAAGUCAUACCGUGGGUAUGACGCUCAAGGAUGGGCUCAUGUCCUAUCAGCUU